UACUAGAGUAGCACUCGCAUAUCAAUAAGCGGAGGAAAAGAAACUAACAAGGAUUCCCCUAGCAACGGCGAGUGAAGCGGGAAGAGCUCAAAUUUGAAAUCUUAAAGGGUUUCCCUUUACGAAUUGUAGUUUAAAGAAGUGUUUUCUGUUGAGGUUUUGGUAAAAGUUCUUUGGAAUAGGACAUCAUAGAGGGUGAGAAUCCCGUAUUUGACCUUUACUUUCAACUUUGUGAUACACUUUCAAAGAGUCGGAUUGUUUGGGAAUGCAGUCCAAAAUGGGUGGUAAAUUUCAUCUAAAGCUAAAUAUUGGCGAGAGACCGAUAGCGAACAAGUACCGUGAGGGAAAGAUGAAAAGAACUUUGAAAAGAGAGUUAAACAGUACGUGAAAUUGUCAAAAGGGAAGCGUUUGACACCAGUGUUGUUUUUCUGAAAAUCAAUUAAAGAACUGUUUAUGUUAAGUUGUUUAGACUUUAUCAGCUAACUGUUUAGUUUUGAGCUUUUCUUUAAUGCACUUUUCAGUUAACAAGUCAACAUCAAUUUCUUUUGCUGUAAAAAAGCUUGAGGAAGGUGGCUUGAGAUUCGUCUUAAGUGUUUAUAGCCUCUUGCCUAUGCAGUCGGAGAGAUUGAGGUCUGCAGCGUAGAUCCUUCGGGGCUAAAUGCAUUUGUGCUAAGUUAUAGCAUUUUAUAGACAACUUGUUGACUAUGAUUUGUCUUGUAGCUUACUCGCUUAUGCUAUUUUACCUACGCUUAGGAUGUUGAGCGCAUGUCUCUCUCU
rnacentral:rRNA from 1 species